CAGAGGGUGCAAGCGUUGUUCGGAUUUACUGGGCGUAAAGCGUACGCAGACGGCUUGGUAGGUCGGAUGUGAAAGCCCCGGGCUCAACCCGGGAAUUGCAUCCGAAACCACCUCGCUCGAGUGUGGGAGAGGGAAGCGGAAUUCCUGGUGUAGAGGUGAAAUUCGUAGAUAUCAGGAGGAACACCGGCGGCGAAGGCGGCUUCCUGGCCCAUUACUGACGUUCAGGUACGAAAGCGUGGGUAGCAAACAGGAUUAGAUACCCUGGUAGUCCACGCCGUAAACGAUGUGUGCUGGAUGUCGGGGGUAUUCACCCCCUCGGUAUCGAAGCCAACGCGAUAAGCACACCGCCUGGGGAGUACGGCCGCAAGGUUG
rnacentral:rRNA from 1 species